rnacentral:rRNA from 1 species
UACGUAGGGGGCUAGCGUUAUCCGGAUUUACUGGGCGUAAAGGGUGCGUAGGUGGUUUCUUAAGUCAGAGGUGAAAGGCUACGGCUCAACCGUAGUAAGCCUUUGAAACUGGGAAACUUGAGUGCAGGAGAGGAGAGUGGAAUUCCUAGUGUAGCGGUGAAAUGCGUAGAUAUUAGGAGGAACACCAGUUGCGAAGGCGGCUCUCUGGACUGUAACUGACACUGAGGCACGAAAGCGUGGGGAGCAAACAGGAUUAGAUACCCCUGUAGUCCCUGAG